GUGGCAUUUGGAGGUCCCACCGAGAUCUGAGAAAGAGAGGGGAGCGUAAACCCAUUUGGGUUCCUGAAAGAUAUGUUCGUCCAGUGGAGGCCAACCUUGAUGAGGCCAAUGCUGAUUCUACAGGUGCCAGCAGCAAUCAUCUUGAUGAAUCCUGCCCUGAGUGAACAAACGGUAUGGAGCCAGCCCCUCGCUGUUGGCCUUCAACCACUAACUUUGAUCUUCCAGACGCUUUGAUGUGGGGAGAUUGUGUCACUACAACAGCGCUUCUGCAGGAGCAGGUUGACGCCUUAUGGAUGAUGCAACAAGUGUCCUGUUCUCAUUUUUAUCAUUCUGUUUGUGUAACACCUGGUCAUGUUGUUAAUGCCUCAGAAAUUGUAAAAUAGUUAAAUGCCUAUAUGAGAGGUCCCUGGAAUGUAAA